rnacentral:lncRNA from 1 species
GACCAGAACUGACAAUUUCUGGAUGCUGUGAAUGCCCAUUUUUGAAUGUUGAAAAAAUAACUUAUUUCCUAAUGAAGUAAUGUACAAUCUGACUUACAGCAAGUCUUUGCCUCAGUCUCAAACAUCCUAUCAAAGGGUGUUUAAAAAUGUCAUUAUCCUAAUUUUUUUACAGAAGGAGAAUAUGCGACACAGGAAAAUGAAGCAAUUUGACAAAAGUCAGUCAGAAGUCCAUGAGGAGAAAUGAGAACUGAACAGAGAAUUGGGAUAUCCUACUACAUUUCUGUCAGAAAUACUUUCUACAUUUGGAGAUUGAAGUUUGGAGGAUCAGACUAUUCCUCUACUGGACCAAACCCUGGGAGUGGGGGCUUAGGAGAUGAUACGCACAGCCGUGGUGGUCUGGUGCACUAGAUGUGCUUGUGGAGACACGCUACAACCAUGGAUUGGUUGCAGGAGCCAUGUAUGAAGGAAGCAAAGGGGCCUGUGUUAUCCUAGCUGGUGUAAAAGCAUUACAGAGACAAGGAAAGCCACAGCCUGCUGCUCCCCAGGAUGGCUGGAAGGUAGCUCUUCAGCUUUUGCAUGGAGAGUCAGACCUUCCCAGGCUUCUGUGACAUGACACCAUGACCUGCACCUGAAGGAGUGCACCAGUACCAAAUCAGGGAAGCCCUCGCUGCCUGGAGAUCAGCUACACCAGGCUGCUGGGGUCUGCAUCUGUGUGG